CCUACGUGAGGCAGCAGUGGGGAAUAUUGGGCAAUGGACGCAAGCCUGACCCAGCAACGCCGCGUGAAGGAAGAAGGCUUUCGGGUUGUAAACUUGUUUUCGCAGGGACGAAGAAAGUGACGGUACCUGAGGAAUAAGCCACGGCUAACUACGUGCCAGCAGCCGCGGUACUACGUAGGUGGCAAGCGUUAUCCGGAUUUACUGGGUGUAAAGGGCGUGUAGGCGGGGACGCAAGUCAGAUGUGAAAACCACGGGCUCAACCUGUGGCCUGCAUUUGAAACUGUGUUUCUUGAGUACUGGGGAGGCAGACGGAAUGCCUAGUGUAGCGGUGAAAUGCGUAGAUAUUAGGAAGAACACCAGUGGCGAAGGCGGUCUGCUGGACAGCAACUGACGCUGAGGCGCGAAAGCGUGGGGAGCAAACAGGAUUAGAUACCCCUGUAGUC
rnacentral:rRNA from 1 species